AAUCUGCCCUCAGGAGGAGGAUGACAGCUGGAAACGGCUGCUAAUACCCCAUAUGCCGCGAGGUGAAAUGAAUUUCGCCUGAGGAAGAGCUCGCGUCUGAUUAGCUAGUGGUGUAGGUAAUGGCUCACCAAGGCAUCGAUCAGUAGCUGGUCUGAGAGGAUGAUCAGCCACACUGGGACUGAGACACGGCCCAGACUCCUACGGGAGGCAGCAGUGGGGAAUUUUCCGCAAUGGGCGAAAGCCUGACGCAGCAACAUCGCGUGAGGGAUGAAGGCCUCUGGGCUGUAAACCUCUUUUAUCAAGGACGAAGAUCUGACGGUACUUAUUGAAUAAGCCCCGGCUAAUUCU
rnacentral:rRNA from 1 species